GACGAACGCUGGCGGCGUGCUUAACACAUGCAAGUCGAACGGUGAUGGCCAGCUUGCUGGUCUGAUCAGUGGCGAACGGGUGAGUAACACGUGAGCAACCUACCCCAGACUCUGGAAUAACCAUGGGAAACGAUGGCUAAUACCGGAUACGAGGCAUACACGCAUGUGUGGUGUCUGGAAAGAUUUAUCGGUCUGGGAUGGGCUCGCGGCCUAUCAGCUUGUUGGUGGGGUAGUGGCCUACCAAGGCGACGACGGGUAGCCGGCCUGAGAGGGCGACCGGCCACACUGGGACUGAGAUACGGCCCAGACUCCUACGGGAGGCAGCAGUGGGGAAUAUUGCACAAUGGGCGCAAGCCUGAUGCAGCGACGCCGCGUGAGGGAUGACGGCCUUCGGGUUGUAAACCUCUUUCAGCAGGGAAGAAGCGCAAGUGACGGUACCUGCAGAAGAAGCGCCGGCUAACUACGUGCCAGCAGCCGCAGUAAAAC
rnacentral:rRNA from 1 species